rnacentral:rRNA from 1 species
UGGGGAAUAUUGGACAAUGGGCGAAAGCCUGAUCCAGCCAUGCCGCGUGUGUGAAGAAGGCCUUUUGGUUGUAAAGCACUUUAAGCGAGGAGGAGGCUACUUGGAUUAAUACUCUAGGAUAGUGGACGUUACUCGCAGAAUAAGCACCGGCUAACUCUGUGCCAGCAGCCGCGGUAAUACAGAGGGUGCGAGCGUUAAUCGGAUUUACUGGGCGUAAAGCGUGCGUAGGCGGCUUUUUAAGUCGGAUGUGAAAUCCCUGAGCUUAACUUAGGAAUUGCAUUCGAUACUGGGAAGCUAGAGUAUGGGAGAGGAUGGUAGAAUUCCAGGUGUAGCGGUGAAAUGCGUAGAGAUCUGGAGGAAUACCGAUGGCGAAGGCAGCCAUCUGGCCUAAUACUGACGCUGUGGUACGAAAGCAUGGGGAGCAAACAGG